AUGGCUGGUGGGCCGAUUCAGCUCUGGAAUGAGUGGGCAACCCAGAUCCUCGUCCUCCUCAGCUUGGCACUGCAGAUUUUCCUCUUUCUAUUCGCUAGGACUCGUCGACGUGGACCCUCCAGCGUGCUCAAGAUCCUCCUUUGGUUGGCAUACCUCAUGGCUGACUCCACUGCUGUCUACACUCUCGGCCAUCUCUCCAUCAGCGGUUCGCCGCAUGAGCAGAAGCUCGCGGUAUUCUGGGCGCCCUUCCUCCUGGUCCAUCUUGGUGGCCAGGAUACCAUCACCGCCUAUGCCCUCGAAGACAACCAGCUUUGGUCGCGCCACCUGCUAAAUCUAGGGGUCCAAGCCUUUGGGGUUGCUUAUGUCCUCUAUAAGCAUAUCACUGAGAUCCCCACCUCACUGGGAUUGGCUACCGGCUUGAUGUUUGUCAUUGGCCUCAUCAAGUAUGGGGAGAGGAUAUGGGCCCUCAAGUGCGCCACCCUGAACAACAUCCUGAGCUCUGUUAGGGAAGCUCAGUAUCUCCCUUCUUACUACAGAGAGCUUCCUUCCCAGGGAGUGAGGGCAGAAGAGCGAGAUGAAGAAGAAAUCAUGUUGUAUGCACAAGGCAUGCUCCCUCUUUGCAAGGGUGCUAUGGCCGGUUUUCCUGUUACUUUAAUGCGGAUGCCUAGAGUUCUGAGUGGUAUAGUCAAUUCUCUCAAGCUGGUGGAGAUGGAGCUCUCUCUCAUGUAUGACAUCCUCUACACGAAGGCUGCGGUGAUCCACAACUGGUAUGGCUACUGCAUCCAUAUAUUCUUGCCGCUCGCGACUAUCGCCGCAUCCGUGCUGUUCCAUUUAAAUGGUAAUAAAAACAGUUACAGUAGAGUCGAUGUUGCUAUCACUUACAUCUUGUUGGUCAGUGCCUUCCUCCUGGACAUGGUGUCAGUGUUGUGCAUUUUUGGGUCGACCUGGACAUGUAAUUUCUUGUUGACUAGAGGCUGGAGUAGGCUAGGUCUUAUCGUCCUGUCUCUUCGCCGGCAUGUCAAGGCUUCUAGAGUUAGAAGGUGGUCAGGCUCUAUUGGCCAAUUUAACUUGUUGCGUUUCUGCUCUCGUGACAAGACCAAGCUAAGCAUCAGAGUGGCCAAGAUGUUGGGGCUCGAGAAUUGGUGGAAUAAACUGCAUUAUCCAGAGAAUGUAGUGAUUCCAGAAGAUGCCAAGGAGUUGGUGCUCCAACUUUUGUGGCAAGCAGUGAAGGAGAUUCAUGACCCGGGAGCAAAGGAUGAGACCCAGUUCCCACCUGUGGAGAAACCAAUGGUGAGGGGGCUAGUCGAUAGCAUACAAGUGGGAUUUUGUCCUGAAUCAUACGAAGGUACUGCCAGGAGGCGUACGAAAUUAGCCGAGGCUCUGGGCUUCGGUGCUGAAUUCCAAGAGGCGGUCCUUACCUGGCACGUCUUUACCGAUGUUUUCCUCUUGUGCAGCAACACCCUGAAGAACAAGGAUGCAACAACAUCCACAUAUCUGAAGGCGAUCAAGGUGCUGUCAAAUUACAUGGUUUUCCUUAUUGCUAUACGCCCCGAUAUGAUGCCUGGCCUCGAGCUAUGCAGCCUGUACGAAGCAACUCGUGAUGCUUUGGAUCGAGUAUGGAGUACAUUUCAUGGCCGGGAGAUGCUUGCCCACACCCUGCACUCUGGUGAGGCCAGUGUUCUGCCUGGAAUGGAAUGCGUCCCUCUCCUGCGUGGAGCUUUGUAUACCCGGCUGCUGAUAAAGGUGGUAGGUAGUACAGGUGAUUCUGACAAGUUUGAUCCUUUCGAAUGCCAUGAUCAUGCUGCCAUGGAUAUGCUGAAGCGCCUGAUGCCAGAUCUGGAGUUCUCAUGCAGAAGUGGUGUAUUUGAUAUGCCCAAAGCGUUGGCGCUCAUCUUGGAUACAUGGGUGCGUCUUCUCGUCCUCGCGUCUGUCCAAUGCAGCAGAGACGCCCAUGCCAGACAGAUCAACCAUGGCGGCGAGCUCACAACCGUUGUCUGGCUCAUGGAAGAACACGCUGCGCUCUUUUUUACGCCACAUCCAGAUGGCCAUAAGUGGCUUCCUCCCACUUAUGCCUUCGUGUGA
rnacentral:rRNA from 1 species